rnacentral:rRNA from 1 species
AGUGAACGCUGGCGGCGUGCUUAACACAUGCAAGUCGAACGAGAACGGAUUAUAGCUUGCUAUAAUUGUCAGCUAAGUGGCGCACGGGUGAGUAAUGUAUAGGUAAUAUGCCUCUUACUAAGGGAUAACAAAUGGAAACGUUUGCUAAUACCUUAUACUCCUUAUUAACAGAAGUUAAUAAGGGAAAGAUUUAUUGGUAAGAGAUUAGCCUGUAUUGUAUCAGUUAGUUGGUGGGGUAAUGGCUUACCAAGACUAUGACACAUAACUGGUUUGAGAGGAUGAUCAGUCACACUGGAACUGAGACACGGUCCAGACUCCUACGGGAGGCAGCAAUGGGGAAUAUUGCACAAUGGACGAAAGUCUGACGCAGCAACGCCGCGUGGAGGAUGACACAUUUCGGUGCGUAAACUCCUUUCAUAUGAGAAGAUAAUGACGGUAUUAUAUGAAUAAGCACCGGCUAACUCCGUGCCAGCAGCCGCAGUAA